GCCUGGGUGGCUCGGUCGGUUAAGCAUCUGACUUUGGCUCAGGUCGUGAUCUCUCAGUUCGUGGGCUCGAGCCCCACGUCAGGCU
rnacentral:tRNA from 1 species